rnacentral:lncRNA from 10 species
GAUGAGUCUGAUCCCACUUGGCAGGUAAAUUUGGGAUAUUUGCUCUCAAAGAAGUAGGUAUGUAAUUUACAUGAUUAUGCAAAUGAAACAUCACUUCCUUGAGGCAGAUCUGCUUGCUCUACCCUGAUCGAUUGUUUAAAUAGAUCAUAGUAUGAUCUAUUUAAUAAAUAGACAAUUAUUAAAACAAAAAUAUAGGAGUAUGUUUUUGUGUGUUGAAUGGCAUGUCAAGUGAAGAUUCCCUGGAUUUACAUGUUGAACUAAAUUUGCUUAAGCUACUAAUUCCAUGCCUUAUGACAAAGCAAACCUCUUUCUAAGAUUUCCUGAGGGAUGAUAUAUUCACGGUCAUCUCAGCUCCACAAUCCUCUUUUUGGUCCUGCAUCAUUUCAGAUUUUAGAGUGUUAGCUCAGCUCCCUCCUCAAUUUCUUUAGGUUUUUAUUUCUUAGCCCAAACCUCACUAUUCAAUUUCUACCAAGAAAAUAAUUACAUAAAGAAUUCAGGAGUAUAAUAGAAUCAAGCAUUUGGAAGAAAGAUGCAGGAAAACUUCAUACGACAAUGUGCAAAUCAUUACAAACUGAACAUUAUCAUUUUCAAAAAUUAUGUUAGCUACCUCACCACAGGAAAACUUCCCGUGGCCCAUU